UUUAAUGAGAGUUUGAUCCUGGCUCAGGACGAACGCUGGCGGCGUGCCUAAUACAUGCAAGUAGAACGCUGAUGUUUGGUGUUUACACUAGACUGAUGAGUUGCGAACGGGUGAGUAACGCGUAGGUAACCUGCCUCAUAGCGGGGGAUAACUAUUGGAAACGAUAGCUAAUACCGCAUAAGAGUGAUUAACACAUGUUAGUUAUUUAAAAGGAGCAAUUGCUUCACUGUGAGAUGGACCUG
rnacentral:rRNA from 1 species